rnacentral:rRNA from 1 species
UACGGAGGGUGCAAGCGUUGUUCGGAAUCACUGGGCGUAAAGGGCGUGUAGGCGGCUCACUAAGUCUGGUGUGAAAGCCCGGGGCUUACCCCCGGAAGUGCACUGGAAACUGGCGAGCUCGAGUCCCGGAGAGGAAGGUGGAAUUCCUGGUGUAGCGGUGAAAUGCGUAGAUAUCAGGAGGAACACCGGCGGCGAAGGCGGCCUUCUGGACGGUGACUGACGCUGAGACGCGAAAGCGUGGGGAGCAAACAGG